rnacentral:rRNA from 1 species
UGCCUACGGGACGCAGCAGUGGGGAAUAUUGCACAAUGGGGGGAACCCUGAUGCAGCGACGCCGCGUGGGUGAAGGAGUACUUCGGUACGUAAAGCCCUAUCAGCAGGAAAGAAAAUGACGGUACCUGACUAAGAAGCCCCGGCUAACUACGUGCCAGCAGCCGCGGUAAUACGUAGGGGGCAAGCGUUAUCCGGAUUUACUGGGUGUAAAGGGAGCGUAGACGGCCAGACAGGUCUGAAGUGAAAAUCCAGCGCUUAACGUUGGAAGUGCUUUGGAAACUGCCGGGCUAGAGUGCAGGAGGGGC